GACGAACGCUGGCGGCGUGCUUAACACAUGCAAGUCGAACGGAAAGGCCCUGCUUUUGUGGGGUGCUCGAGUGGCGAACGGGUGAGUAACACGUGAGUAACCUGCCCUUGUCUUUGGGAUAACUUCAGGAAACUGGGGCUAAUACCGGAUAGGAGCUCCUGCUGCAUGGUGGGGGUUGGAAAGUUUCGGCGGUUGGGGAUGGACUCGCGGCUUAUCAGCUUGUUGGUGGGGUAGUGGCUUACCAAGGCUUUGACGGGUAGCCGGCCUGAGAGGGUGACCGGCCACAUUGGGACUGAGAUACGGCCCAGACUCGUACGGGAGGCAGCAGUGGGGAAUAUUGCACAAUGGGCGGAAGCCUGAUGCAGCAGCGCCGCGUGCGGGAUGACGGCCUUCGGGUUGUAAACCGCUUUCGCCUGUGACGAAGCGGGAGUGACGGUAAUGGGUAAAGAAGCACCGGCUAACUACGUG
rnacentral:rRNA from 1 species